UACGUAGGGCGCAAGCGUUGUCCGGAUUUAUUGGGCGUAAAGAGCUCGUAGGCGGUUCAGUAAGUCGGGUGUGAAAACUCUGGGCUCAACCCAGAGACGCCACCCGAUACUGCUGUGACUUGAGUACGGUAGGGGAGUGGGGAAUUCCUGGUGUAGCGGUGAAAUGCGCAGAUAUCAGGAGGAACACCAGUGGCGAAGGCGCCACUCUGGGCCGUAACUGACGCUGAGGAGCGAAAGCGUGGGUAGCAAACAGG
rnacentral:rRNA from 1 species